rnacentral:rRNA from 1 species
UACGUAGGGCGCAAGCGUUGUCCGGAAUUAUUGGGCGUAAAGAGCUCGUAGGCGGCUUGUCACGUCGGGUGUGAAAGACCGGGGCUUAACCCCGGUUCUGCAUUCGAUACGGGCUGGCUAGAGUGUGGUAGGGGAGAUCGGAAUUCCUGGUGUAGCGGUGAAAUGCGCAGAUAUCAGGAGGAACACCGGUGGCGAAGGCGGAUCUCUGGGCCGUUACUGACGCUGAGGAGCGAAAGCGUGGGGAGCGAACAGG